rnacentral:rRNA from 2 species
UGGGGAAUAUUGCGCAAUGGGCGAAAGCCUGACGCAGCGACGCCGCGUGAGGGAUGACGGCCUUCGGGUUGUAAACCUCUUUCAGCUCUGACGAAGCGAGAGUGACGGUAGGAGCAGAAGAAGCACCGGCCAACUACGUGCCAGCAGCCGCGGUAAUACGUAGGGUGCAAGCGUUGUCCGGAAUUAUUGGGCGUAAAGAGCUCGUAGGCGGUCUGUCGCGUCGAAUGUGAAAACCCGGGGCUCAACCCCGGGCCUGCAUUCGAUACGGGCAGACUAGAGUUCGGUAGGGGAGUCUGGAAUUCCUGGUGUAGCGGUGAAAUGCGCAGAUAUCAGGAGGAACACCGGUGGCGAAGGCGGGACUCUGGGCCGAUACUGACGCUGAGGAGCGAAAGCGUGGGGAGCGAACAGG